CUUGCAGGGUACUCGAGUGGCGAACGGGUGAGUAACACGUGGGUGAUCCGCCCUGCACUUCGGGAUAAGCUUGGGAAACUGGGUCUAAUACCGGAUAGGAGCCAUCUUUAGUGUGGUGGUUGGAAAGUUUUUUCGGUGUAGGAUGAGCUCGCGGCCUAUCAGCUUGUUGGUGGGGUAAUGGCCUACCAAGGCGGCGACGGGUAGCCGGCCUGAGAGGGUGUACGGCCACAUUGGGACUGAGAUACGGCCCAG
rnacentral:rRNA from 1 species